rnacentral:rRNA from 1 species
GAUGAACGCUGGCGGCGUGCCUAACACAUGCAAGUCGAGCGAGAACUUAUGUAAAGAAACUUCGGUAGAUUUACAAAAGGGAAAGCGGCGGACGGGUGAGUAACGCGUAGGCAACCUGCCCCAUACAGGGGGAUAGCCACCGGAAACGGUGAUUAAUACCCCAUAAAGCAUAGAUAACACAUGUUAAAGAUGUCAAAGAGAAUUCGGUAUGGGAUGGGCCUGCGUCUGAUUAGUUAGUUGGUGAGGUAACGGCUCACCAAGGCGACGAUCAGUAGCUGACCUGAGAGGGUAGGCGGCCACAUUGGAACUGAGACACGGUCCAGACUCCUACGGGAGGCAGCAGUGGGGAAUAUUGCACAAUGGGCGAAAGCCUGAUGCAGCAACGCCGUGUGAAUGAAGAAGGCCUUAGGGUCGUAAAAUUCAGUCCUAAGGGAAGAAAAAGAUGACGGUACCUUUUGAGGAAGCCACGGCUACUCGCUU